rnacentral:tRNA from 1 species
GCUGCGAUGGUGGAAUUGGUAGACACGUCACCUUGAGGUGGUGGUGCCCAUAAAAACGGGUGUGGAGGUUCGAGUCCUCUUCGCAGCA